CGAGGAUUCCCCUAGUAACGGCGAGUGAACGGGGAAAAGCCCAGCGCUGAAUCCUUUGGCCACUGGCUACUAGGAGUUGUAGCGUAUAGGUGUAGCUGUCCGUUCGUUUUGCGCACCCAAAGUCCCCUUGAGCGGGGCUACAGUCCAUAGAAGGUGCUAGACCUGUACGGGUGGCGAAGCGUGCGGUAGGUUGCUCCUUGGAGUCGGGUUGCCUGAGAUCGCAGCCCAAAGAGGGUGGUAGACCUCAUCUAAGGCUAAAUAUGGCCACGAGACCGAUAGCAAACAAGUACCGUGAGGGAAAGUUGCAAAGAACUUUGAAGAGAGAGUUCAAGAGGGCGUGAAACCGCUGAGAUUGAAACGGAUAGAGUUGACGAAACUCGGCGGCAUUCAGCCGAUCGACGAAGCGGCCUUGCGGCUUUGCGCCUUGAUUAGGGCAAAGACGUGAGUCGCUGCUGAGUAUGAGAUUGGUGUAUUUGCCGCCGGUAUGCGCUGAGAGCUUCGCAGUUGUGCGCUUAUGCGUAUGCAGUGGACCAUUCCUUCCGGGCGUGGAACCCUUCAUGCGUUCAGGCGUAUCGUCUGUGAAGUUAUAAUGUCAUCUCCGCUAUGGCACAUCGGUCUGUGGCGGUUUUUCCGAUUAUUGGGCGGUCGCAUGCGACUUGCCUAUAGUCGAAAGGAUCAGUCGGAGAUGCAGAUGAGUCGAGAUGUACAUCUCGGUGUGAACGUUGACCACCUAUCCGA
rnacentral:rRNA from 1 species